rnacentral:lncRNA from 1 species
GGUCUCAAGAGGACUCCGGGUAGCGCUCAGGCCCAAGUUGCAUAAUCAGAUAGAGAUGAGUUCCGCGUGGAAGGCCAACCCUUAUAUGUCCAUGUUUAGAGGGAGCUCAUGGGCCCUAAGGCAAGGCUCACAUAAAAGAGGCAGGACCUAUGUCUAAGAGUAUAGCGGAAGUGCAGAAGCAGAGAUUUGUUUAAAGACUAGGUGAUAAUAGUAAGGGGAAGGCUAGUUUGAAAACAAGUAGUAGUAAAAGUUAAAAUUAUACAGCAUGAGUCAUUGCUCAAAGGGGGCAGGGGUUUAGGAAUUCAUUGCAAGUAGA